GACGAACGCUGGCGGCGUGCUUAACACAUGCAAGUCGAGCGGUAAGGCCCUUUCGGGGGUACACGAGCGGCGAACGGGUGAGUAACACGUGGGUGACCUGCCCUCAGCUCUGGGAUAAGCCUGGGAAACCGGGUCUAAUACUGGAUAUGACUCCAUGACGCAUGUUGUGGGGUGGAAAGCCUUGUGCGGCUGAGGAUCGGGCCCGCGGCCUAUCAGCUUGUUGGGUGGGGUGANGGCCUACCAAGGCGACGACGGGUAGCCGGCCUGAGAGGGCGACCGGCCACACUGGGACUGAGAC
rnacentral:rRNA from 1 species